AACGAACGCUGGCGGCAGGCUUAACACAUGCAAGUCGAACGGGUGCAGCAAUGCAUCAGUGGCAGACGGGUGAGUAACACGUGGGAACCUUCCUAGGGGUACGGAACAACUCAGGGAAACUUGAGCUAAUACCGUAUACGUCCGUGAGGAGAAAGAUUUAUCGCCCUUAGACGGGCCCGCGUCGGAUUAGCUAGUUGGUGGGGUAACGGCCUACCAAGGCGACGAUCCGUAGCUGAUCUUAGAGGAUGAUCAGCCACACUGGGACUGAGACACGGCCCAGACUCCUACGGGAGGCAGCAGUGGGGAAUCUUGGACAAUGGGUGCAAGCCUGAUCCAGCCAUGCCGCGUGAGUGAAGAAGGUCUUCGGAUUGUAAAGCUCUUUUGCCAGGGACGAUAAUGACGGUACCUGGAGAAUAAGCCCCGGCAAACUUCGUGCCAGCAGCCGCAGUAACAC
rnacentral:rRNA from 1 species